CAGAAUUAGCGCGGCAAAUUGAGUCCUGGAACAACCACACAACGUGUGUUGGUUUGGCGCAAGCACCGAAAUUCCGGGGGGCCAGACAUCCAGCACCAGGGUCGAUUACCACACGAUCGAACGACUGGGGGAGCGCACUGAGGGGAUCUCGCACGGCGUCGUUCUUUCCGGACACGGUCCACAUCCGACCAACAGAAGUGCUUUCCCAGGAAGCUAAAGUGAACACACAUUGUUGGCGAUCGGAGAAGCAAACUGACGGGAUCCCGCACGCCAUCACUCUUUCGGAACGUGGUCCACAUUUGAGCAACAGAAGAGCCUUCCCAGGAAGUACGAAUGAACGGGUAUUUUUAGCCGCACUCAUUCUAACCAGAAAUUUGCCUCAGGGCUCUUUCUUUUGUGCUUUCUGCAGCUAGACACGCUGAUCAAGAGCAACGGCUCCCCGAACGAGAAGCAAAGAGCGACGACGAUUGAGGUGAAGGACUACCGAAGGUCAGAUCCGAGGGAUCCGACUAAGGACCACACUGCGUGAGAGGUAGGAGGCGAAAAGCGUUCGAGUGGCGUAAACCAGCUCAUUCGAGAAGCGGUGUGCACGGAUCACACUCGGUCAGCUCCUAGCAGCGGGGGCGAGGUAAAUCUAAUUCUUCUUCGGCCGACAUAGCGCCCCAUCUGCGAGGUACCCGCGGAUCGCCGAGCCCUUGACACAGACAGGGGUCCCCAACUCACCUUCGACGGGCAGGUCUGGCUGAUGACAGGUAUGCGGAGAGAUGCACGAAGCAAAGGUAGCAGCAGACGUGAGUUCUAGGAUUAAGAACAUGUAAAAAGGAAGAAAAGAAGCAUGCAUAGUGAGCAGGAGAGUAGGGCCGCAGAAAGAAGCAUGAAGGGUAUGAAGCACAAUAAUAAAAUGUUUGCACACUAAGUCUUGUUUUGUGGCGUUUGUAGUUGACUAGCCCGGCCGACUAAUCCCCUUUUAUCACGG